rnacentral:rRNA from 1 species
GGGGAUAGCCUUUCGAAAGGAAGAUUAAUACCCCAUAAUAUAUUGAAUGGCAUCAUUUAAUAUUGAAAACUCCGGUGGAUAGAGAUGGGCACGCGCAAGAUUAGAUAGUUGGUAGGGUAACGGCCUACCAAGUCAGUGAUCUUUAGGGGGCCUGAGAGGGUGAUCCCCCACACUGGUACUGAGACACGGACCAGACUCCUACGGGAGGCAGCAGUGAGGAAUAUUGGACAAUGGGUGAGAGCCUGAUCCAGCCAUCCCGCGUGAAGGACGACGGCCCUAUGGGUUGUAAACUUCUUUUGUAUAGGGAUAAACCUACUCUCGUGAGAGUAGCUGAAGGUACUAUACGAAUAAGCACCGGCUAACUCCGUGCCAGCAGCCGCGGUAAUACGGAGGGUGCAAGCGUUAUCCGGAUUUAUUGGGUUUAAAGGGUCCGUAGGCGGAUCUGUAAGUCAGUGGUGAAAUCUCAUAGCUUAACUAUGAAACUGCCAUUGAUACUGCAGGUCUUGAGUAAAGUAGAAGUGGCUGGAAUAAGUAGUGUAGCGGUGAAAUGCAUAGAUAUUACUUAGAACACCAAUUGCGAAGGCAGGUCACUAUGUUUUAACUGACGCUGAUGGACGAAAGCGUGGGGAGCGAACAGGAUUAGAUACCCUGGUAGUCCACGCCGUAAACGAUGCUAACUCGUUUUUGGGUUUUCGGAUUCAGAGACUAAGCGAAAGUGAUAAGUUAGCCACCUGGGGAGUACGUUCGCAAGAAUGAAACUCAAAGGAAUUGACGGGGGCCCGCACAAGCGGUGGAUUAUGUGGUUUAAUUCGAUGAUACGCGAGGAACCUUACCAAGGCUUAAAUGGGAAUUGACAGGUUUAGAAAUAGACUUUUCUUCGGACAAUUUUCAAGGUGCUGCAUGGUUGUCGUCAGCUCGUGCCGUGAGGUGUUAGGUUAAGUCCUGCAACGAGCGCAACCCCUGUCACUAGUUGCCAUCAUUCAGUUGGGGACUCUAGUGAGACUGCCUACGCAAGUAGAGAGGAAGGUGGGGAUGACGUCAAAUCAUCACGGCCCUUACGCCUUGGGCCACACACGUAAUACAAUGGCCAGUACAGAGGGCAGCUACCAGGCGACUGGAUGCGAAUCUCGAAAGCUGGUCUCAGUUCGGAUUGGAGUCUGCAACUCGACUCUAUGAAGCUGGAAUCGCUAGUAAUCGCAUAUCAGCCAUGAUGCGGUGAAUACGUUCCCGGGC